UACGGAGGGUGCGAGCGUUGUUCGGAAUCACUGGGCGUAAAGAGCGUGUAGGCGGCCCGAUAAGUCCGCUGUGAAAGUCCAGGGCUCAACCCUGGAAUGCCAGUGGAAACUGUCGGGCUGGAGUCCGGAAGAGGCGAGUGGAAUUCCUGGUGUAGCGGUGAAAUGCGCAGAUAUCAGGAGGAACACCAAUGGCGAAGGCAGCGCGCUGGGACGGUACUGACGCUGAGACGCGAAAGCGUGGGGAGCAAACAGG
rnacentral:rRNA from 1 species